rnacentral:rRNA from 1 species
AGGACGAACGCUGGCGGCGUGCCUAAAACAUGCAAGUCGAACGGGGUCCAUCACUUCGGUGAGAAGACCUAGUGGCGAACGGGUGAGUAACACAUGAGCAACCUGCCCCGAAGACAGGGAUAAGCCAGGGAAACUUGGUCUAAUACCUGAUACCUCUACCGAGUCUCAAGACUUGGUAAAGAAAUGAUUUAUCGCUUCGGGAGGGGCUCGUGGCCUAUCAGCUUGUUGGUGGGUAAUGGCCCACCAAGGCUUCGACGGGUAGCUGGU